CUACGGAGGGGGUUAGCGUUGUUCGGAAUCACUGGGCGUAAAGGACGCGUAGGCGGGUUGGCAAGUCAGAUGUGAAAUCCUACAGCUUAACUGUAGAACUGCAUUUGAAACUGCUAACCUAGAGUAUGGGAGGGGGAGAUGGAAUUAGUGGUGUAGGGGUAAAAUCCGUAGAUAUCACUAGGAAUACCGAAAGCGAAGGCGAUCUCCUGGAACAUAACUGACGCUAAGGCGUGAAAGCGUGGGGAGCAAACAGGAUUAGAAACCCUUGUAGUCC
rnacentral:rRNA from 1 species